rnacentral:rRNA from 1 species
GGAGGGGGCUAGCGUUGUUCGGAUUUACUGGGCGUAAAGGGCGCGUAGGCGGUAUGUCAUGUCAGGGGUGAAAGGCCUGGGCUCAACCCAGGAACUGCCUUUGAAACUGGCAAACUAGAGUCCGAUAGAGGAUGGCGGAAUUCCCAGUGUAGAGGUGAAAUUCGUAGAUAUUGGGAAGAACACCAGUGGCGAAGGCGGCCAUCUGGAUCGGCACUGACGCUGAGGCGCGAAAGCGUGGGGAGCAAACAGGGAUUAGAUACCCUGGUAGUCCACGCCGUAAACGAUGUGUGCUAGACGUUGGGGGGCCUUAGGCCCCUGGGUGUCGCAGCUAACGCAUUAAGCACACCGCCUGGGGAGUACGGCCGCAAGGUUA